GCUAAACGCGAAGAACCUUACCAGGCCUUGACAUGCAGAGAACUUUUCCAGAGAUGGAUUGGUGCCUUCGGGAACGUCUGACACAGGUGCUGCAUGGCUGUCGUCAGCUCGUGUCGUGAGAUGUUGGGUUAAGUCCCGUAACGAGCGCAACCCUUGUCCUUAGUUACCAGCACGUUAUGGUGGGCACUCUAAGGAGACUGCCGGUGACAAACCGGAGGAAGGUGGGGAUGGACGUCAAGUCAUCAUGGCCCUUACGGCCUGGGCUACACACGUGCUACAAUGGUCGGUACAGAGGGUUGCCAAGCCGCGAGGUGGAGCUAAUCUCACAAAACCGAUCGUAGUCCGGAUCGCAGUCUGCAACUCGACUGCGUGAAGUCGGAAUCGCUAGUAAUCGCGAAUCAGAAUGUCGCGGUGAAUACG
rnacentral:rRNA from 1 species